rnacentral:tRNA from 1 species
AAACAAUAGCAUUUAAAUGCAUGUCGGUUUCGGCCCGGCAAGAGCGGUAACCGCAUUGUUUU